rnacentral:tRNA from 1 species
GCCGGAUUAACUCAGUGGUAGAGUAUCUGUUUUGUAAACAGCGAACGUAGGUUCGAUUCCUACAUCCGGUA